UACGUAGGGUGCAAGCGUUGUCCGGAAUUAUUGGGCGUAAAGAGCUCGUAGGUGGUCUGUCGCGUCGGCUGUGAAAACCCGGAGCUCAACUCCGGGCCUGCAGUCGAUACGGGCAGACUGGAGUUCGGCAGGGGAGACUGGAAUUCCUGGUGUAGCGGUGAAAUGCGCAGAUAUCAGGAGGAACACCGGUGGCGAAGGCGGGUCUCUGGGCCGAUACUGACGCUGAGGAGCGAAAGCGUGGGGAGCGAACAGG
rnacentral:rRNA from 1 species